rnacentral:misc_RNA from 1 species
GAUGAAGAACGUAGCAAAAUGCGAUAAGUAAUGUGAAUUGCAGAAUUCAGUGAAUCAUCGAAUCUUUGAACGCACAUUGCGCCCGCUGGUAUUCCGGCGGGCAUGCCUGUUCGAGCGUCAUUUCAACCCUCAAGCCCCCGGGUUUGGUGUUGGGGAUCGGCUCUGCCCUUCUGGGCGGUGCCGCCCCCGAAAUACAUUGGCGGUCUCGCUGCAGCCUCCAUUGCGUAGUAGCUAACACCUCGCAACUGGAACGCGGCGCGGCCAUGCCGUAAAACCCCAACUUCUGAAUGUUGACCUCGGAUCAGGUAGGAAUACCCGCUGAACUUAAGCAUAUCAAAAGCGGAGG